UAAAUACUCCCUCUGUCCGAAAAUACUUGUCAUUAAAAUGGAUAAAAAUGGAUGUAUCUAGAACUAAAAUACAUCUAGACACAUCCUCUUUUAUUCAUUUUGAUGAUAAGUAUUUCUGGACGGAGGGAGCCUUUU
rfam:Triticum aestivum genome assembly, contig: Triticum_aestivum_CS42_TGACv1_scaffold_645477_T_4BL-0.074975_4BS-0.040450